GUUUCCACUGGAUACACGGAUUAUUAAACUACGCAAAGUGCAUGGACCUAAACCAUCUUAAUAAAAAUUUCCACUGGACACACGAAUUAAACAAUGCAGAGAACACGGACCAAAACCAUCCUAACAGAAAGUGACAGCAGCAAACAUUAACAAGAUGUUCGAACGCACUCGUCACCGGAUAAUUACGUCAAGAAGUGAAAGAACGAACCGCCCCCUGGUCCGCGUCCCAAUGCACAAAUCUGCUUUGCUAAUAAACCAAAGAAGAAAGAGGAAGAAGAAGAAAGGAGAGCCCAUCGGCGAGAGGAGUAGGGAAAGGCAGAGGCCUAGAAGGCACGUCCGACGGCAUUUGGAAAACGGCAACAGUGUGUCGGCUCAGUUCCGGGGGUGGCGGUAGAAAAAAAAGCCCCAUGGAAUUCCGCAAGAGGCGAAGAAAGAGGA